GCCAGGUGUGGUGGCGCACGCCUUUAAUCCCAGCACUUGGGAGGCAGAGGCAGGCAGAUGUCUGUGAGUUCAAGGCCAGCCUGGUCUACAUAGUGAGUUCCAGGACAGCUGGGGGUACAGGGAGACCCUGUCUCAAAAAGACCAAAAAAAAAAACAAGUGGCUAAGAUAGGUUUUCCCUGUGAUCCCAGCUGGCCUGAAACACUAUGUAGACCAGACUGGCCAAAGUUUCCCAGAAAUCCACCUGCCUCU
rnacentral:sRNA from 1 species